rnacentral:lncRNA from 1 species
CGGGGUCUCUCUUUUUGGACUUCUGUUUUGGAUCAGAUGUGGCUCUUUCCAUAAUAUACCAAAUAUGCACCUGGAGGUACCAAGUAUAUGCCAAUGUCAAGAUCACAGUCAAAUAAUAAUCAAGCAAUUUGAAAUGGAGUUGGCAUUAUCCAUUGAAGUUGGAAGCCAGAAGAGCCUAAAGCAACAGCAGAGCCCAAAGAAACUGGAAAGAGCCUGGAAUUCUCUCCCACUUUGCCAGUUCCUCUCUUCCUGUCUCUCAUAUAGGUGUAGGGCAUUGAUCUCCAAAAUCUCAAACCAAUGGGCUUUGGGACUCAUGUUGAAUCAUGGAAAGGGUUGUUUGUUUUGUCUUUGAAUCCCUAAUAUAAUACCUGAC